UGCGAGUCGAGAGAUUUCGGAUCUCGGCACACUGCUCAGUAACACGUGGACAAUCUGCCCUUAGGUAGGGGAUAAUCUCGAGAAAUUGAGCAUAAUACCCUAUAGGUCUAAGCUACUGGAAUGUUCUUAGGCCGAAAAUUCCGGUGUCUAAGGAUGAGUCUGCGGCCUAUCAGGUUGUAGUGAGUGUAAUGGACUCACUAGCCGACGACGGGUACGGGCCUUGAGAGAGGUAGCCCGGAGAUGGACUCUGAGACACGAGUCCAGGUCCCACGGGACGCAGCAGGCGCGAAAACUUCACAAUGCGGGCAACCGUGAUGAGGGAACUCCAAGUGCUAGUACUUAGUACUAGCUGUUUACUUUCUUAAAUAGUAAGUAGAGUAAGGGCUGGGUAAGACUGGUGCCAGCCGCCGCGGUAAUACCAGCAGCUCGAGUGGUGGCCGCUAUUAUUGGGCCUAAAACGUCCGUAGCCUGUUUAGUAAAUGCUUGGGUAAAUUGUGUAGCUUAACUAUACGAAUACCGGGUAGACUGCUAAACUUGGGACCGGGAGAGGCUAGAGGUACUCCUGGGGUAGAGGUGAAAUUCUGUAAUCCUAGGGGGACCACCAGUGGCGAAGGCGUCUAGCUAGAACGGGUCUGACGGUGAGGGACGAAGCCCUGGGGCGCAAACCGGAUUAGAUACCCGGGUAGUCCAGGGUGUAAACGCUGCUUGCUUG
rnacentral:rRNA from 1 species